UGAGUAACCUGCCCUUAACUCUGGGAUAAGCCUGGGAAUCUGGGUCUAAUACCGGAUAUGACUCCUCAUCGCAUGGUGGGGGGUGGAAAGCUUUUUGUGGUUUUGGAUGGACUCGCGGCCUAUCAGCUUGUUGGUGAGGUAAUGGCUCACCAAGGCGACGACGGGUAGCCGGCCUGAGAGGGUGACCGGCCACACUGGGACUGAGACACGGCCCAGACCUCCGUACGGGAGCAG
rnacentral:rRNA from 1 species